AGAAUACAUUACACAGGUAAGAAUACAGAGAUUAGAAUACAUUACACAGAUAAGAAUACAGAGAUUAGAAUACAUUACACAGAUAAGAAUACAGAGAUUAGAAUACAUUACACAGAUAAGAAUACAGAGAUUAGAAUACAUUACACAGAUAAGAAUACAGAGAUUAGAAUACAUUACACAGAUAAGAAUACAGAGAUUAGAAUACAUUACACAGAUAAGAAUACAGAGAUUAGAAUACAUUACACAGAUAAGAAUACAGAGAUUAGAAUACAUUACACAGAUAAGAAUACAGAGAUUAGAAUACAUUACACAGGUGAGAUUAGAACACAUUGCACAGAUAAGAAUACAGAGAUUAGAAUACAUUACACAGGUAAGAAUACAGAGAUUAGAAUACAUUACACAGGUAAGAAUACAGAGAUUAGAAUACAUUACACAGAUAAGAAUACAGAGAUUAGAAUACAUUACGCAGAUAAGAAUACAGAGAUUAGAAUACAUUACACAGAUAAAAAUACAGAGAUUAGAAUACAUUACACAGGUGAGAUUAGAAUACAUUACACAGAUAAGAAUACAGAGAUUAGAAUACAUUACACAGGUAAGAAUACAGAAAUUAGAAUACAUUACACAGAUAAGAAUACAGAGAUUAGAAUACAUUACACAGGUAAGAAUACAGAGAUUAGAAUACAUUACACAGGUAAGAAUACAGAGAUUAGAAUACAUUACACAGAUAAGAAUACAGAGAUUAGAAUACAUUACACAGGUGAGAUUAGAAUAUAUUACACAGGUAAAAAAUAAAGAGAUUAGAAUACAUUACACAGGUGAGAUUAGAACACAUUACACAGAAAAGAAUAAAGAGAUUACAUUACACAGGUAAUAAUAAAGAGAUUACAUUACACAGAUAAGAAUAAAGAGAUUACAUUACACAGGUGAGAUUAGAAUAUAUUACACAGGUAAUAAUAAAGAGAUUACAUUACACAGGUGAGAUUAGAAUAUAUUACACAGGUAAUAAUAAAGAGAUUACAUUACACAGGUAAUAAUAAAGAGAUUACAUUACACAGAUAAGAAUAAAGAGAUUACAUUACACAGGUGAGAUUAGAAUAUAUUACACAGGUAAUAAUAAAGAGAUUACAUUACACAGGUAAUAAUAAAGAGAUUACAUUACACAGAUAAGAAUAAAGAGAUUACAUUACACAGGUGAGAUUAGAAUAUAUUACACAGGUAAUAAUAAAGAGAUUACAUUACACAGGUGAGAUUAGAAUAUAUUACACAGGUAAUAAUAAAGAGAUUACAUUACACAGGUAAUAAUAAAGAGAUUACAUUACACAGAUAAGAAUAAAGAGAUUACAUUACACAGGUGAGAUUAGAAUAUAUUACACAGGUAAUAAUAAAGAGAUUACAUUACACAGGUGAGAUUAGAAUAUAUUACACAGGUAAUAAUAAAGAGAUUACAUUACACAGGUAAGAAUACAGAGAUUAGAACACAUUACACAGGUAAGAAUACAGAUAUAAGAAUACAUUACUCAGAUAUUGAGGCAUUAAUGCAUAUUCUAGGGAUUAGAAUACAUUAUGGAUAAUAGGCAGAACUGCAUG